AGAAUUUUCUGACUUAAAAUCCCAUGCUGUUUCUGGGGUUUAUUUUUUCUCUCUUUUUAUGUGCACAGACUGCUCAAAAACUCCAAAUAUUUUCCCUGCUGCUGGAGUCCUGCUCAAACCAGCAGGUGGGGUGGUUGCCAGAGGCUGUGGCAGAGAAGGAGGCGGGAAGGCAGGGUGUGCCUGUGUGGGCCCUUUGUAGUCAAGUAUUUAUAAACCUGGCCCUACUCCCUUGUAACAAAUAUCAGGUGUUUCUUCUGGCUCCCAGGCUCAGAGGAGGGGGUCCUCCCCUCUGCCCACAGGAACGCAUCCAGGAAAGGCAGUAGCUGGGGGUCAGGUGAGGCCAGGCCAGCUCUGCAGGGUGAACUCAAGCUCCCGGACUCAAGGCGUCCUAGGGAUUUGGAGUCUGCUGCCGCUUCGGAGAGAUACUGCCCUGAACCACGCAGCCCUGGCUCCUUUAGGUCAGAGAUGGUUUGUCCGGCAUUGGCACCCAGCCCAGGGCAGCGCUGCUAUAGACGAACCAGGAGCCUGUGAUGGGGCUGUGGUCAGGGCUGUGCUCGCAUUGGGGUGAUGAGGGUGGCAGGAGAGGAGGCAGGAGCAGGAGCAUGUCCAGAAAGGGCAGAAAAAGAGCUGCCUGCGGAGAGGUGAUCCGUGCCCUCUAGCCCCCUGGGUAUGGCCGUUCCUGGGGUCCCUGGAAUCCUGCAGAUCUUUCCUGCUGUGAAUUCCUUCCAAGGAGCCCCUCACUUUUAGACCAGAUGGAGUGAGAGUGAUUAUAGUAACCAAACAAGACCGAUGGGGACGGUCCCCACUGUGGACCCGGGCGUGGUCUGCCUGCCACGUUCUCAGGGGCUGCGGCUGGCUGGCUGUGGUUGCCACACUGGGUCACUGGUUCCUGGAGCUCAGGUUGACAGGGACACCUCAGAGCCUGAGCCUGAGGAAGGGGUAUGAUGAGGACUAGAAGCCCCAGGGGGGAGAGGAGGGAAGGGCCAGAGGGACCAGGGGUGGAACAUGGGCUUCUGACAGGACAUCACCCUGAGCUCAGGCCUGGGGUGCGGGUUUUUUGUUUUGUUUUGUUUUGUCUUUUUAGGGCCAUACCUGUGGCCUAUGGAAGUUCUCAGGCUACGGGUUGAAUUGGAGCUGCAGCUGCCAGCCUACACCACAGCCACAGCAACACAGGAUCCAAGCCGUGUCUGUGACCUACACCACAGCUCAAGGAUCCAGUGUUGCCGUGAGCUGUGGUGUAGGUUGCAGACGCAGCUCAGAUCUGGUGCUGCUGUGGCUCUGGCGUAGGCUGGCGGCUACAGCUCUCAUUAGACCUCUAGCCUGGAAACCUCCAUAUGCCGUGGGAGCGGCCCAAGAAAUGGCAAAAAGACAAAAAAAAUAAAUAAAUAAAUAAAUAAAUAAACAAAUAAAUAAAAUAACUAACUAAAUAAAUAGGUUUUCCCCAUCGUGGUUCAGCAGUUAAUGAACCUAUAUCUGUGAAGGCUUGGGUUCAAUCCCUGGGCUUGCUCAGUGGGUUAAGGAUCUGGCAUUGUUGUGAGCUGUGGUGUAGGUUGCAGACGAGGCUCAGAUCCUACAUUGCUGUGGCUGUGGCAUAGGCACAGCUCUGAUUAGACCCCUAGCCUAGCCUGGGAACCUCCAUAUGCCUCGGAUGCGGCCCUAAAAAGCAAAAAAAAAAAAAAAAAAAUUCCUUGGGCUCGUUGAGAGGAUGGGGUUGGGGAUGUGUUGGGAGACUGUCUCAUGAACCAUCCUGUCCUGUGCGGGGGGGGUGGGGGGGUUAUUCGCAGCUGGACAGGUUGGAAGAGGCUCCCCAUUUUCCUCAAGGGCAGGUCUGACCUCUGCCUGCCUCCCGCCUACCUCUGCAUUCUCAGAGGCUAGUGCCAUCUCACCCU
rnacentral:lncRNA from 1 species